rnacentral:rRNA from 1 species
CGCUAUCACUCCUACGGGGAGGCAGCAGUGGGGAAUAUUGCACAAUGGGCGCAAGCCUGAUGCAGCCAUGCCGCGUGUAUGAAGAAGGCCUUCGGGUUGUAAAGUACUUUCAGCAGUGAGGAAGGCGGGUGUGUUAAUAGCACAUUCGUUUGACGUUAGCUGCAGAAGAAGCACCGGCUAACUCCGUGCCAGCAGCCGCGGUAAUACGGAGGGUGCGAGCGUUAAUCGGAAUUACUGGGCGUAAAGCGCAUGCAGGCGGCCUGUUAAGUCAGAUGUGAAAGCCCGGGGCUUAACCUCGGAAUUGCAUUUGAAACUGGCAGGCUAGAGUCUUGUAGAGGGGGUAGAAUUUCAGGUGUAGCGGUGAAAUGCGUAGAGAUCUGAAGGAAUACCAGUGGCGAAGGCGGCCCCCUGGACAAAGACUGACGCUCAGAUGCGAAAGCGUGGGGAGCAAACAGGAUUAGAUACCCUGGUAG